CCUACGGGAGGCAGCAGUGGGGAAUAUUGGACAAUGGGGGCAACCCUGAUCCAGCCAUGCCGCGUGUGUGAAGAAGGCCCUCGGGUUGUAAAGCACUUUCAGUGAGGAAGAACGCCUGGUGGUUAAUACCCAUCAGGAAAGACAUCACUCACAGAAGAAGCACCGGCUAACUCCGUGCCAGCAGCCGCGGUAAUACGGAGGGUGCGCGCGUUAAUCGGAAUUACUGGGCGUAAAGCGCGCGUAGGUGGCUUGAUAAGCCGGUUGUGAAAGCCCCGGGCUCAACCUGGGAACGGCAUCCGGAACUGUCAAGCUAGAGUGCAGGAGAGGAAGGUAGAAUUCCCGGUGUAGCGGUGAAAUGCGUAGAGAUCGGGAGGAAUACCAGUGGCGAAGGCGGCCUUCUGGACUGACACUGACACUGAGGUGCGAAAGCGUGGGUAGCAAACAGGAUUAGAUACCCCAGUAGUC
rnacentral:rRNA from 1 species